rnacentral:rRNA from 1 species
GGUUCGAUUCCGGAGAGGGAGCCUGAGAAACGGCUACCACAUCCAAGGAAGGCAGCAGGCGCGCAAAUUACCCAAUCCCAAUACGGGGAGGUAGUGACAAUAAAUAACAAUAUGGGGCUCUUACGGGUCUCGUAAUUGGAAUGAGUACAAUUUAAAUCUCUUAACGAGGAACAAUUGGAGGGCAAGUCUGGUGCCAGCAGCCGCGGUAAUUCCAGCUCCAAUAGCGUAUAUUAAAGUUGUUGCAGUUAAAAAGCUCGUAGUUGAAUUUCGGAGUUUGUCGGUUGGUCGGGCUUCACUGUCCGCACUGGCCUGAUGGAUUCCUACCUUCUGAAUAACCAGCAUGCUAUUAAGUUAGUGCGUUGGGGAAGCAGAGCUAUUACCUUGAAAAAAUUAGAGUGCUUAAAGCAGGCUUUUGCUUGAAUAGAUUAGCAUGGAAUAAUAAAAUAGGACGGCAUGGUUCUAUUUUGUUGGUUUCUAGGAUCACCGUAAUGAUUAAUAGGGAUAGUUGGGGGCAUUAGUAUUCAAUUGUCAGAGGUGAAAUUCUUGGAUUUAUUGAAGACUAACUUCUGCGAAAGCAUUUGCCAAGGAUGUUUUCAUUAAUCAAGAA